GAGGGUAUAGCUCAGCGGUAGAGCUCCUGCCUAGCACACGUGAAGUCCCGGGUUCAAGCCCCAGCACCUCCA
rnacentral:tRNA from 1 species